GAACCUGGGGACAGGGACCAGACCUGCGGGGGUCAGGCUAGGGGACCAGGUCAGAGCAGAGGGUGGUGUCAGCAGAGAGGAUACUCGGGCAGAGGAGAGGCCACCAGGACAGGGAAGGGCUUGGGCAAGGCUGGGGGCUUCUGUGAUGCUGUCCCUUGUAGAGGGAUGGGGGCAGGUGGGUGUAGUGGGUGCCCAGAGAGGAGACAGGCAGAGAAAGAAUGCUUGGGCACAGGGCACAGAAGGGGUGAACUCUAGGCAGAGGGGCAGUGGCCCAGGCCACCCUCAGAAUGGCGCUGGCCCCAAGUGGGAGCCCAGUCACCUGGAAGCCAGAUGCUGCCUUGUGCCAUCCCUGAGCUGCUGCCCCUUCACUUUCCAUUCCCGAGGGACGAGUCCCUUGUGCCAGGGCAUGAGUUGGCACUGGGCACGGGGAGCAUGGGCAGCCAGGUGGCCUUUGGCUCACAGAGUCCCCUCCCUGCCUUCAUGCCCACUUGGCUGCCCACACACCAGCUGUCCAGAGCGCACAUGAGGCCCCAGGUGGGGAGGAGGUAGGUUUGACAUGGAUGGGUGCUGGCAGCAGGUGCUUGGAGGGCCCUCUAAAAGUAGAUCGCAGGGAUGCAAGUGAUGCCACCCCUGACUUGUGGGGUGGUCAGUCCUGUAUGGUGUGUCCCCUCUGUCCUCCAUCACUGCCAUCUCUACAUACAGAGCAGGACACUUAGGGUCCCUGAAGCCCCACUGCAGAGGCAGGUGCCCAGGGAAAGGACUUUCUGAGGCCCCCAGGCCAAUGGCACAUGGGGCCUGUGACACCCACUUUCCCUCUGGGGUCAGGUGGGUCUGGCCUUAGCUAGGCGAGCAUGUGGUGCUUGGAGAGGGGCAGCCUGCAGAUGAUCAGUUUGGUGCAGACCCCAGCAGGGCUGGCUGCUGGGCCAGGUUUUGAAGAGCUAUGCCAUCCCAGGGAGAAAGCCUUGCGCAUGCCACUACUGGGGCUCCAUGAUCCCUCAGUGAUUUCUUUGAGUCAUGGGGUCAGAUCCAAUGGGCUGGGCAGCAGGGCAGCCAUCUGCCAUCUAUCCUGGGAGCCCCAGGAGCCCCACAGUGUGCUCUCUGUUAGAUGUGCUAGCUGAUGCAGGUUACCAUGGAGAUGGGAGGCCAGGGCCCAAGGGAGCAGCCUCGGCCUGCUUAAAGGGAGCUGUUCUGGGAGCUGGCUGUGAAGAACCACGUGAUGUGAUGACAUGGCCUAGCCCCCAGGGUUUCUGGGCUUUGUCCUGUCUCCAACCUCCAAACGCUGUUCCUCACCCCCAGUUCUAAGCCACUUUCAGGCCAUGGAACCUGCGCUUCUCCAGCCCAGGCCUGAGCGAGUGCCCUCCUUCUCCAGCUCUCAGGAGGAACCCAGGAGGUCAGAGCCAGAGCCUGUGGGUACAGGCUUGGACAGGCACCUCUGUGCUGUGCCUGACUGCCUCUGGCUACAGCUUUGCAGAGAAAAUGGAUGUGAUGAGCAGUCCAGGCCCAGGGCAAUUUGAUUUGCCAGGGUUGCACAGCCAAUAAGCAACGGGAACCCUUGAACCCAGGAAGCCAAUCCCCAGACAGGGGCCUCCCGAAAGGGCUGGGGGCGCGAUUGGCUGGGCAUCUCUGAUUCCCACCAUAGCCUUCCAGGGCUCUGCACCCAGCGCCCUGCUCGGCGCAGGGACACCAGGGUUGGGCAGCGGUCGGAACCUUGCAGGGAUUUUGGGAGCCAGGAGCUGGGCCAUCAGGAUCAUUUUGACUUUGAGGAAGACCCUGAAGCUGCUGAGUCCCAGGCCCAGUGAAUGCAGUGGGUGUGCACUGCCACUGUGUUUCUGAUCACACCGCACCCAGGCACUGGGGAGAGAGGACUCCAGAGCUUCUUCAGAAAGAGACAAGAACACUGGCGUCACUGUGAGACCACCGUGGGUGUGGAGGAGCCUUCGAGAGAAGCCUUCGAGUGGAUGUGACGUCACACCUCAGUGAUACCUCCAGCUGCCGCCUGCUUGUCCUCUUUGGAGACACUGUUCAACUCUUAAAAAAAAAAUAUAUAUAUAUAUAUAUAUAUAUAUAUUUUUUUUUUUUUUUUUUUGCCUUUUCCUUUUUAUCUGUACUGGGGAUCGAACUCACGACUGCCUGCUUGCAAGAGGCUGUGACUCCCCAGGGCACAAGGGUUUAAUAUAAAAAACCUAAACCACAGCCUCCCAAAACAAUUCAGUUGCUACCCUAAUCAGAUUAUGUGGAUUGAUCCUUCUGCAUACCCUUCUCCCUCCUGGCCAGCCAGCUCAAAUUACAAAAUUCCCGCCAUCUUCACUGUCACUCAUCCCUGAGCCACACCCCUUCUUCACAAGAUAAUAAAUUCUGGAGGCGCCUAGGGUCAGGGCCUUUGUCUACCUGUCCUCAUGGAGAUUGGACUUAGGACCCCUUGGCUGCCCUUAACUUGGAACAUG